ACACACCGCCCGUCACACCACGAGAGUUUGUAACACCCGAAGUCGGUAGGGUAACCUUUAUGGAGCCAGCCGCCGAAGGUGGGACAGAUAAUUGGGGUGAAGUCGUAACAAGGUAGCCGUAUCGGAAGGUGCGGCUGGAUCACCUCCUUUCUAAGGAA
rnacentral:rRNA from 1 species